rnacentral:rRNA from 1 species
UACGUAGGGUGCAAGCGUUAAUCGGAAUUACUGGGCGUAAGCGUGCGCAGGCGGUUGUGCCAGACAGAUGUGAAAUCCCCGGGCUUAACCUGGGAAUUGCAUUUGUGACUGCACGGCUAGAGUGUGUCAGAGGGGGGUAGAAUUCCACGUGUAGCAGUGAAAUGCGUAGAUAUGUGGAGGAAUACCGAUGGCGAAGGCAGCCCCCUGGGAUAACACUGACGCUCAUGCACGAAAGCGUGGGGAGCAAACAGG